UGUUUCAGUAGUUUAGUUGACCGUAUUUGAGACAAGAGACUAAGGUUCGAAACUCGACAGCGACAGUGUGAGAAAUUAUGCUUAAAGUGGGUAGAUCCCUUAUGCGCACCAGUAUUUUGUUCUGUCUACUGAGUCACUUAGUUACCGUGGCAUAUCUCUUGUGCGCACUAAUAAUUGGUCAUGUCUACUGAGUCACUUAGUUACCGUGGCAUAUCUCUUGUGCGCACUAAUAAUUGGUCAUGUCUACUGAGCCACUUAGUUACCGUGAUUUACAUAUUUUUACAUGCUCUGUGAGGUCAUUUGGAUGAAUUCAAAUGCACUAUGACUGAAUUUGUACGC